UUUUUUUUUUUUUUUUUUUUUUCCGUGUUGCUUCGUCCCCUGGGCUCUUGGAGGUGCUGUCGCCGUUCCUCUCACCGCUGCAGCCAUGAUCUCCUUAACGGACACCCAGAGGUCUCGCCGCUCUCACCCCAGUGAGAUGGACGCUUUGUUCCUGCAGAUGGCCACAAGAGAAGGUUUGAUGCUCGGUACCCGCGGUUCAUCCUUGGAGACGUUUCUGCAAACUUGGACUCCUCUACAAGUUACAGGCCCGUUGUUUGGGAGGCGGUAUUUUAAAUGUCACCAGUUAUCGAGUUUUGGCUUUCUUUCUUUCUUCUUCUUUUUUUUUUUUUUUUUUUUUUUCUCUUAAUAUGCUUAUACUUUAAUAUUUUUACUAUUUCGCCAUUUGCCACCUCUGGAAAGAAACUUCGAAAAAUUUCUUUAAACGAUUUCACUUUUCUACCACCUAAUGUUUCCACAGUAGUAAAAAGCCACAUUGUGUUCAG